AUGCUGGUGACUCUUUGUGCUCUCAUCACUGCUCUGACAUGUGUGAGUGGUGUGACAGUGGUGACACAGAAAACUGUGCUAUCCGUGAGCAAAGGAGAGACAGCCACCAUGGACUGUAACCUGGGGACUGUUACUAACAGUGCUGCUCGGUGGUAUAAACAGAUUCCAGGAGGAGUUCCUCAGUAUGUGCUGAGGUUUUAUCAUGGCUCGAGUUCUCCAACCUAUGGCUCUGGGUUCUCCUCUCCAAAAUUCACAUCCACUCAUCAGUCAACAUCAGAUUAUCGUUUGAUCAUCAGCAAUGUGGAGGAGGGAGACUCUGCAGUCUAUUACUGUCACACAUGGGAUGACUCUGCUAAAGAGCAUGCAUCACAGUAUUUUACACCAUGA